UACGGAGGGUGCAAGCGUUAAUCGGAAUUACUGGGCGUAAAGCGUGCGCAGGCGGUCUGUUAAGACCGAUGUGAAAUCCCCGGGCUUAACCUGGGAACUGCAUUGGUGACUGGCAGGCUUUGAGUGUGGCAGAGGGAGGUAGAAUUCCACGUGUAGCAGUGAAAUGCGUAGAGAUCGUAAGGAAGACCAGUGGCGAAGGCGGGUCUCUGGACAGUUCCUGACACUGAGGCACGAAGGCCAGGGGAGCAAACGGG
rnacentral:rRNA from 1 species